rnacentral:rRNA from 1 species
UACAGAGGUCUCAAGCGUUGUUCGGAUUCAUUGGGCGUAAAGGGUGCGUAGGCGGCGCGGUAAGUCGGGUGUGAAAGCCCCGGGCUCAACCUGGGAAUGCCAUUCGAGACUGCAUAGCUAGGGUGCGGAAGAGGGAAGCGGAAUUUCCGGUGUAGCGGUGAAAUGCGUAGAUAUCGGAAGGAACACCAGUGGCGAAAGCGGCUUCCUGGUCCAGCACCGACGUCAGGCACGAAAGCGUGGGGAGCAAACAGG